AUCUGAGCCUUCUUACAUUUUUCAAUGUGUGAAUGUGGGUAGGAUGUCACAAGAAGCUGUGGCUGCCGCACCUCUACUUUGAGCAGGAGGAGAGUUCGACUUGGUUGUUUGCUCCAGCGCAAGAGAACGUCAUGAGGAGUUGCAGCUGUUGUACCUCUACUUCGAGCAGGACAAGGGCUCGACCCGGUUGUUUGCUGCAGCUCAAGAGUUAUUGGUGUGGGGUCCUUACUGUCCGGGUUCAACGCCGAUGACUUCAUCGCCAGCAGCUGCACCGUUCCUGAUGUUGCGGAGAUGUCCCGCUCCUCGGCAAUGUUCUUCCUCGGGCAGGUUUCACUUGUACAGCAACAAAUAGGCUCUGGAGGUAUGGCAUUUGGCGGUGUGAAGAAUAGGUAUGGCAUUUGGCGGUGUGAAGAAUAGCUAUGGCAUUUGACGGUGUGAAGAAUCUGAGAUCGUGAGUGUGAGGAUGCAAGUACACUUGAGAAGGCAAUAAGAGGCUGCAUAUUGAUCUUUGCUAGCUGUGCAACACUUGUGUUAAGAUAUGUAGUGAGCAUUUACCU